AGAUUCCUUUCCCCGACUCCGCAGCAGGGGGCCCAGAUCCUCACCACUGUCAAUCAGACAGUAGUAAUCAACAUCAGAGCCGAGGCUACUCAAUCCACGAUCUCCGGGCUCCUCUUCAGCGGUCCCCAUAAUGUGGUGAGGAGCUCACAAGGAUCGGGAAACUUCACCUUGACAUGGACACCAUCUUCUUUUGAAAAUGGAGAAAGCCAUCCCAUCUGCUUUGUCGUCCAGUCGAGUUUGUCUUCAUCUGUGUAUCAGUCUGGUCUUAGAUGCGUCAUUGUAAAAGUUGGAAAUCGUGAGUACAAUGUCGUCUUCUUCUUUUAGUUUUAAGUCUAUACUGUAUUCAUAUCGCAAAUCCUGUUUCACCUAACAUCUUGCUCUGUUUACAGACUUGGUACCUAAGCUGAAUACCCAAAU